UCGGGAUAACACCUGGAAACAGAUGCUAAUACCGGAUAACAACAGAUGAUGCCUAUCAACUGUUUAAAAGAUGGUUCUGCUAUCACUCUUGGAUGGACCUGCGGUGCAUUAGCUAGUUGGUAGGGUAACGGCCUACCAAGGCGAUGAUGCAUAGCCGAGUUGAGAGACUGAUCGGCCACAUUGGGACUGAGACACGGCCCAAACUCCUACGGGAGGCAGCAGAG
rnacentral:rRNA from 1 species